AUGAGAUUAAAGGAGUAUCCUUUCGCUUUUAUUAAGAGUGGCAUGUUAUGUGAAAAUCAGCCAUAUAAACUGCCACACCCAACUACACAAAAAUAUUUCAUUGUAACACUUUUGUUUUUAGGAGUCCAAUCUGAGGUCCAGGUAGCGGAGUCUGGAGGGGAUGUGAGAAGACCUGGGGAGUCCUUCCAUCUCUCCUGCCAAGCCUCUGGAUUCACCUUCAGCAACUAUCACAUGAACUGGGCGAGACGGGCUCCAGGGAAAGAUCCUGAAUGGGUGGCCAACAUACGUAUAGGCUCAUCUCCUUCCACUUACUACCCAGACAAAGUCAAGGGACGCUUCACCAUUUCCAGGGAUGAUUCUCGUAGCCAGCUGUAUAUGCAAAUGAACAGCCUCAAACUGGAGGACACACCUGUCUAUUAUUGUGUGAGAGACACA